rnacentral:pre_miRNA from 1 species
UCACCUCCACAGGCUGCCGGCCCCGAGGCUGAGCUGGGAAAGUAUCUCUUGGAAAGGCUCGCCCUCAAGCAUGACUAGGAAC